AAAAGAAAAGGACCAGUUACAAGGUGAACACAGCAGAGCUAUCCUCGCUCGAAGCAAAUUGGAGAGUCUGUGCCGGGAGCUGCAGAGACACAACAAGACUCUGAAGCAUUUUGGAAGCCCAAGGCCGGAGGAUCACUUCAGCUUGGGAAUUCGAGACCAGCCUGGGCAACAUUUAUGAGAGCAAGACAUUGUCUCUACCAAAAAUCAGGAAAAUUAGCUGAGUGUGGCACGUUCCUGCAGUGCCAGCUACUUGGGAGGCUGAAGCAGGAGGAUCAUUUGAGCCCAGAAGUUCGAGCCUGCAGAAGAGGCGCUUCAGCGGGCACGUGAGGAAGAAGAGAAAAGGAAGGAAAUCACAAGCCAUUUCCAGAGUACCCUCACGGACAUCCAGGGCCAGAUCGAGCAGCAGAGUGAGCGAAAUAUGAAGCUCUGUCAGGAGAACACAGAGCUUGCAGAAAAGCUGAAAAGCAUCAUCGAUCAGUAUGAGCUCAGAGAGGAGCAUCUGGACAAAAUAUUUAAACACAGAGAACUGCAGCAGAAGCUGGUGGAUGCAAAGCUUGAGCAGGCCCAAGAAAUGAUGAAGGAAGCGGAGGAGCGACACAAACGAGAAAAGGAAUAUUUGCUGAACCAGGCAGCAGAGUGGAAACUUCAGGCGAAAGUGCUGAAGGAGCAAGAGACAGUCCUGCAGGCUCAGCUCACUCUCUACUCAGGAAGGUUUGAAGAAUUCCAGAGCACACUAACUAAAAGCAACGAGGUGUUUGCCACGUUCAAACAGGAAAUGGACAAACCCUCCUGACUGCUCCAAGAAUUUCAUCGAACAAGACUCAAAGAGGCCCAGCUGCUCUGCGUUUUGAUUCUUCUCCCUCUCUCAGUCCACACUGACCUGGGAGGGGCUUCUCAAACACCACAUUUCCUAGCGUGCUGUGAGAAGAGGACUGUGAGCUAAGAAGGGAGAAAAGGUA
ensembl:lncRNA novel transcript